UAUAGUUCCACUCACCCAAACAAAUAACCCCCUUCAUCAUCAGCCGUGGCAAAGCUACCAUACACAUCUCGCUCUGAGCGGUCAUGGCGCUGUGCCGCUGCUAGCCCAGCGUUCGUGGGGGGUCGCCGCCUAAGACGUGCAUGUUGUUGCCGACCCAGGGCCCUCCGAUCACCGCAAUUGAUUUGAGCCCGCAAUCUGUUGCCGGUGAAUCAAUCCCCGCAGACACCGCUGGCCCAAUUCUCGUGCCCCGGUGUCGACCAUAGCUCCAGGCAAGCCACACGUCUCACUGCUGUCGUCCUCCUCCAACAUCUCCUGCACCAAAAGGUCGGUGAUCUCCUUCUCUAUCUCCCCAAAUCUAAGCGAUCUCAGGUUUAUUUGGGUUGGAACUUUGAAGCUCUGAUUUAUAUGUGGAGGAAGCAUCUUUUAGAAGCGAGAUCUGUUCUGUUUCCAGCCGCCUCAUCCGUGCAGCAGUCCGGAAUAAACAGAUGGAACAACGUUGAUUUAAAGCGAUGGAUCGUAGUCAUCUCUCUUCGUUUUGUUUUAUGUAAGGCGCUGAUUGGACGGAAUAAAAAGGCAGUUAUUUUUUUGCCGGGAUGCACUUGAAGCUGAAUUAUGUGCAUGCAUGGAAGGUUUAUCUUUCUCCAUCCAGAGAAGUGAGUUACCAGUGCAGAUCGACAUGGAUUCUAUAAUUGCAGUGAAAUUGAUCCAGGCUUCAGAGGUUGACAGAUCGGUAUAUUCGUCUAUCAUCAAGGAGAUUAGAUAUCUUAUGUCUCUACGUGAAAAUUGUAUUACUCAUGUAAGUCGUAGCCAAAAUAAAGUUAGUGAUAGCUUAGCUAAAUUUGCUCGUAGUGAGGGUAGAACCAUGACUUGGCUAGGUUCUGGUCCUCCUGAGGCUUUGGAACUAGCUGCGAUUGAUUGUAAGGACUUUGG